CUGGGGAUUAUGCCCCCGACACACGUGGCCUUCGGCCAAUAGUAUCCCCCUUUAAUAAGUAAUGAUAAAUUACGGUUAAUAUUCUUAAUAUUGUGCAUUUUUUCCUUCUUUUAUUUCAAACAUAAGUAUAGUUAGAUUAAAUUUUAGAACAAAUUUGGAUGCUCAGAAUGCAGGAAAUGGCAUUCCCGUGCUUCAAAUUUCAAACAUUUUCUGGGGGAGUACACCACCAGAUCCACCCUAUUCAUGCGUGGUAUGUUGGCCACAUACGUGGCCUUCAGCCAUUGCUAUCCCCCUUUAUAAAUAUAUAAUUAUCUCACAGAAAGUUCCCUUUUCCAAAAAUGCCCACCCCCUCCCCAAGGGAAAAUCCUUAAAAAAGGCCCUGUUCAAGUAUAGUGCUUUGUAGAGAUUUCGAGCAUUGAUAAAACUUAUAAUCUCACAUGUGAGAUUAUUCAUGAUGAUCUCAUAUGUGAAAAUUAUCGCUUUUCAAUUAUCAUUUCUUCUGUAAAAGACUGUCCAUUGUAUAAUAAACAGAAAAAUACAUGGAUGCUUGGAAAUACCAGAUUUAUUUCUCGUGAUAAAUCUGGUAUUUCCGCGCACCCAUGCCAUUUAUUCUCUAUACUAGAAAAUACAUGCAUGCAGAAACCCUCGACUUACUGACGAAACAUUAUGUUUUC